rnacentral:rRNA from 1 species
GAUCAGUGGCUACAGGACGAACGCUGGCGGCGUGCUUAACACAUGCAAGUCGAACGAUGAAGCUAGAGCUUGCUCUGGUGAAUUAGUGGCGAACGGGUGAGUAACACGUGAGUAACCUGCCCCGAACUCUGGGAUAACUGCUGGAAACGGUAGCUAAUACUGGAUACGACCUACGAAGGCAUCUUCUGUAGGUGGAAAGAAUUUCGGUUCGGGAUGGACUCGCGGCCUAUCAGCUUGUUGGUGAGGGUAAUGGCUCACCAAGGCGACGACGGGUAGCCGGCCUGAGAGGGUGACCGGCCACACUGGGACUGAGACACGGCCCAGACUCCUACGGGAGGCAGCAGUGGGAAUAUUGCACAAUGGGCGCAAGCCUGAUGCAGCAACGCCGCGUGAGGGAUGACGGCCUUCGGGUUGUAAACCUCUUUUAGUAGGGAAGAAGCGAAAGUGACGGUACCUGCAGAAAAAGCACCGGCUAACUACGUG